AUGAAAGCGACGUCUAUCCUGAAGCACGAAGACAGCAGCGGGGCCCGGGGAGGUCUGUGCACCCAGGCUGCAGACGCAGCAGCAGCAAAAUUGCGAUGGUCCCGAGAGCCUUUCCGGAAACCCUGGGGCUCGCGCCCUCCCCUCUCCCACGGGCCUAACCUUGGGCCGAGAGUCCCAGAAUCACUCGCCCAAACCCAGGGCUUGUGCGCAGUGUGGCAUCGAGAGGCUGCUUUUGAAGAGACGUUCGGCGGAUGGAGCGUGGAUGCUGUAUUGCAGGUGCAGACCACCUGGCUCUGGCAGGCCAGCGGGCAAGCCGGCACCGGAGGUUCUCGCAGGCUUCCUUUCCUGGUGUUUCACUCCAAGAAGUCCAGGAAUUUUAAAUCCAUUCCUGUCAUCCUGGGUAACCAUAAUGGUAGACUUUUCAAAGUAAGAGAAUACAAGCUAUUUCAUUUUCGAUUGCAAAGUCUUUUUGGUGUUCGUUUGUAUGUUUUUCCUUAAGCUGGUCGGGAUCUUUGAGAGAGAGAGAGAGAGAGAGAGAGAGAGAGAGCCUAAAGGUAGAUGGCAACCUUGCCACUAACAUUUGCAGGUGCCAGUGCAAAGAGUAAAGAAAAGAGGCAACAAAGCUCCUUAGGCUGCUGGGUGGAUUGCCAGGAUAGCUUAUUUUGUCUUCUAUUCAUGGUCCUCGAGGGCUAGGAACAAGGAAAUCGACAUUUUCAGUCCCAGGCUCGCGCUAGAAGGAUUAUAGCAGGUCCUCACUACAAUAAGGUGGGAUUCCCAAGGUCUAAGCCCUUGGGGGUAGGGGUGAUCUUAUCUAGUCCUGCCCCUUCAGGUCCCAGGGCUCUUUGGACAAGGCGGCCUUGGCACUACAAAUAAUAUAAGGAAAAGGAAUGUUGAAAAAGCCCUUGAGAAUAAAUAAAUAAGGAAGGAAGCUCA
rnacentral:lncRNA from 1 species